AGAUUGAACGCUGGCGGCAUGCCUUACACAUGCAAGUCGAACGGCAGCACGGGAGCAAUCCUGGUGGCGAGUGGCGAACGGGUGAGUAAUACAUCGGAACGUGCCCAAUCGUGGGGGAUAACGCAGCGAAGCUGUGCUAAUACCGCAUAAGAUCUACGGAUGAAAGCAGGGGAUCGCAAGACCUUGCGCGAAUGGAGCGGCCGAUGGCAGAUUAGGUAGUUGGUGAGGUAAAGGCUACACCAAGCCUUGA
rnacentral:rRNA from 1 species